UCGUUUUUCUCUCUGGCGAUUCUGGAGUCUUUUCUGAAGCCGUGAAAUCAAAAAGAAACUUAGGGGAAACAAUUAUCUAGUUUAAUAGAUGAAGAAGGGGUGAUUGUUCUGUGAAACUUUGAAGAAGGAGAUGCUUUUGAUAAUGAAUCGAAAACAGGAUGAACCAGUGGAUCGUGGAUCUCGAGGUAGGCGUGGAUUGUCAUCAAAAGAUGUGGGAAUACUUUAACUCUUUUGUAACCAUUGAUGUUGUUUCUUUGAUAAAAGUCUUUGUUUAACAAACUCAUGCAUUGCCUAAUUGUGUAUUCCAUGCAUUGUUUAUUUUAAAUUUCGAAAAUACUAUUGAUUCUUUUAAUCUUUCCAUUGCUUGGAAAGGAAUUGUAAUGCUUCGCUUGUCUUCAUGAUUGUCUUUGGGAAAUGAGAAUCCAACUAUGGUAUAUCGGAUACGCUCCUUCGUUAUUUUACUUUUGUGCUUUAUACGGUGUGGAAUUGGCAUCAAUAUUACGGGUGUGUACAUUCACCCACAGACUAUCUAGGUGGUACGGCCAUCAAUAUUACGACGUGUAAAUGUCGUCACAGAAAGUUAUCAGUUUCAGAGACAGAUCAGAGUUGCGCAGCGGAAGCUUCGAGGAGUUGACUUCAUUAAUUAGUUAAGUUCUGCUAUAUUUAUUAUGUUUGCAAACCAAAUGACUAUUGUAUAUGUAUCAUUUAAGAGAAGUUCUUGUAUAUGUAUAUUUCUAAGCGGGGCUAGUUUUGGGUUAA